UACGUGGGGUGCAAGCGUUAUCCGGAUUUAUUGGGCGUAAAGAGUUCGUAGGCGUUUUUCUAAGUUUCACCUGAAAGACCGAGGCUCAACCUCGGGACCGGAUGAAAGACUAGAAGAAUUGAGUCGGUUAGGGGGUACUGGAACUGUCGGUGUAGCAGUGAAAUGCGUUGAUAUCGAUAGGAACACCAAGGGCGAAGGCAAGUACCUGGGACCGCACUGACGCUGAGUGAACGAAAGCUAGGGGA
rnacentral:rRNA from 1 species